rnacentral:misc_RNA from 1 species
UCCGUUUUGUCAACGGCAGUCCGGCUAGAGUGCUCUUGCGUAGCAACUAACCGUAAGGGUUGCGCUCGUUGCGGGACUUAACCCAACAUCUCACGACACGAGCUGACGACAACCAUGCACCACCUGUCUCUACUUUCCCCGAAGGGCACCUAAUGUAUCUCUACUUCGUUAGUAGGAUGUCAAGUCCUGGUAAGGUUCUUCGCGUUGCUUCGAAUUAAACCACAUACUCCACUGCUUGUGCGGGCCCCCGUCAAUUCCUUUGAGUUUCAAUCUUGCGAUCGUACUCCCCAGGUGGGAUACUUAUUGUGUUAACUCCGGCACGGAAGGGGUCAGUCCUCCCACACCUAGUAUCCAUCGUUUACAGCGUGGACUAC